UGAGGAAUAUUGGUCAAUGGAGGCAACUCUGAACCAGCCAUGCCGUGUGCAGGAAGACGGCCCUCCGGGUUGUAAACUGCUUUUAUUCGGGAAUAAACCACGCCACGUGUAGCGUGCUGAACGUACCGAAGGAAUAAGGAUCGGCUAACUCCGUGCCAGCAGCUGCGGUAAUACGGAGGAUUCAAGCGUUAUCCGGAUCUAUUGGGUUUAAAGGGUGCGUAGGCGGUUUUUUAAGUUAGUCGUUAAAUCUCUGAGCUCAACUCAGACAUGGCGAUUAAUACUGGAGAACUAGAGAUUAGUUGCAGAGGGCGGAAUGUGUAGUGUAGCGGUGAAAUGCUUAGAUAUUACACAGAACACCGAUUGCGAAGGCAGCUCUCUAAGCUACAUCUGACGCUGGGGCACGAAAGCGUGGGGAUCAAACA
rnacentral:rRNA from 1 species